UACGGAGGGUGCAAGCGUUAAUCGGAAUUACUGGGCGUAAAGCGCACGUAGGCGGCUUGUUAAGUCGGAUGUGAAAGCCCCGGGCUCAACCUGGGAAUGGCAUCCGAUACUGGCAAGCUAGAGUACAAGAGAGGGUGGUAGAAUUUCUAGUGUAGCGGUGAAAUGCGUAGAUAUUAGAAGGAAUACCGGUGGCGAAGGCGACUACCUGGACUGAUACUGACACUGAGGUGCGAAAGCGUGGGGAGCAAACAGG
rnacentral:rRNA from 1 species